rnacentral:rRNA from 1 species
UACAGAGGUCCCAAGCGUUGUUCGGAUUCAUUGGGCGUAAAGGGUGCGUAGGCGGCGCGGUAAGUCGGGUGUGAAAUUUCGGAGCUUAACUCCGAAACUGCAUUCGAUACUGCGGUGCUUGAGGACUGGAGAGGAGACUGGAAUUCAUGGUGUAGCAGUGAAAUGCGUAGAGAUCAUGAGGAAGACCAGUGGCGAAGGCGGGUCUCUGGACAGCUCCUGACGCUGAGGCGCGAAGGCUAGGGGAGCAAACGGG